AUGCUCAACGCUUGUCGCACAUGGACCGGGAACCAAAUCAUUUUGAAUUGGCAGAAAAGCUGUUCUCUCAGCAACUUCAACAACAUCCACAUAGUUUACUGUCUGCUCAUAACAGCCACGUGAAUGAAGCAAUGCUGGAAAGAGGGGCAAGCCAUAAUUCAGUACACCACCCACAGGUUGCCAGUCAAAUUGAGCAGGAUUUGGAACGCGUUAUGGCCCUUCAGCUGCGAGCCACUUGAAUGAAGCAAUGCUGGAAAGAGGGGCAAGCCAUAGUUCAGUACACCACCCACAGGUGGCCAGUCAAAUUGAGCAGGAUUUGGAGCGCGUUAUGGCCCUUCAGCUGCAGCAGCAGAGACAGCUGCAGCUUCAACAUCAUCAGCAAAUGCAGCAACAACAACAGUUCCACCAACAGCAGAUGCUACUGAAAGAACAACAACAGUCUAAUGCUAGACAGUUGCUUCUUGAACAAUUGUUGCAGAGUCAAAUGUCUGAUACUAACUGUGCACAAUCACGUCUUGAUGCUACAAGGCCUAACAAUACCCUGGAACAGGUUU
rnacentral:lncRNA from 1 species